AUGAUCUGGCAGUGUAAGUUGUGCGCAGCUUCCUUCACCUCCAGAAUACAGUUAUUUAGACACUACAGGCUGCAGCACAGCCACUAUUCCCGAAUCAGCCCUCUUCCAUGCCUCUACACUGAUUGCAUUUGUACAUUUCAGACACUUAAUGCACUGAGUACUCAUUUGUCAAGAUAUCAUACAGCACAACUUAGCAGUUGUGCAGAGCAGAGUCAGAGGCCUGUGUUAUUUAAAUGCCCUUUAUGCACAUUUCAGCAACGCUUUUCUGAAACAGGCCUUUUCAGUCAUCUCAGAAAGCAUUUGAAAAAUCAUGAAACAGUGACAUGCCCAUAUAAGGAUUGUAGGUAUAGCACAAAUGUGUACUCUUCAUUCAAUUCCCAUAAAAGUAGAGCACACCAAGCAAGUCUUGCAACAGACUUUAAAAGUGAUAUUGUCAGUGAGGAUCCCCAUAAUCUCCAAGCCAGUAUUUCUGAAGUAGCUAGUGACUUGCAUGAAGAAUGCCCAGACCAGAGCACGGAAGUGGGGAAUGAUGAUCAGUGUGACACUGACAGUCUAAGAAAUCAACUUAAAAAAAAUGUGUCUUCCUUAUUCCUACAGAUGCAGGCUAUCCUCCAUGUCUCAAACACGGCUACUCAAGAAAUAGUAGAACACUUGAAUCAGACCUUCUCCUUAUCUGAGCCGUUGAUCAAAGAGGCAGUUAGUGACAUAUUGCAGAGAAACGGUCACAGUAUUGCAGAACCUACACUGAGUGAAGUUGUUGCCACUGUCAUGGACUGCAAUGUUCUGUCUACAUCAACCUCUAAAGGUGCUGAGUUGAGUUCAACCAAGUGCAGAAAAACCUUUACUGAGUGCAACUACCCUUGUGUAAUGCCAGUGGAGUAUCAGCUGGAUCAACCUGGACAUACCAGCAUGUAUGUUCCUAUCCUUUCAAUGAUUCAAGAGUUGUUUAAAAACACAGACAUUCUUAAGAAGAUUACUGAACCAAAUACUGCAUCUGGUCAAUAUGCAUCAUGCUCUGAUGGCUCUCAUUUCCUUGAAAAUGACUUACUGUCAACAGGGGAUCUCAUCCUACCACUCCAGCUAUAUAUUGAUGAGCUUGAAAUUGCCAAUCCACUUGGCACAUCACGCAAAAUUCACAAACUUUGCGCUGUAUAUUGGGUCCUCGCUAAUGUACCACCAAAAUACCGAUCAGCAUUACAUGCUAUACAGCUAGCAAUACUGGUAAACGUGACAGACCUCCGUAAGUAUGGAUAUGCAGCUGUACUUGCUCCAUUGCUGCGUGAUGUUCGUACUCUGGAACAAGACGGUGUCUUCAUUGAAAGAGUUGGCCAGAAUGUCAGAGGCACCAUCUUUUGUGUUUCUGCUGACAAUUUGGCUGCUCAUGGAUUAGGUGGCUUUGUAGAGUCAUUUAGAGCAGGCCAUGUUUGCAGAUUCUGUAUGGGCUCAAUUGAACAGUUUUAA
rnacentral:lncRNA from 1 species